CAAUAACCAAUGCCUGGGGGAUAUCUGUGAGCUCCUGCAACAAACAUUUGGGGUUUUGAUCAGCGCCAUCGAUCUGCGCUGGCGCGCGGUGCUUUAGGUGGAUUUGGAGGCUGAAAGGCGCUCCGCAGUUCACUGUUUGUUCCCAGGCAGAUCCCACUGGUUGGUGCUUCGCUGCCUUUCUUCUCGGAGAGAGCCCUCUCAGCACAGCCAGAUGGACCCAGGGGUGCAGCUGCCCCACCUGCCCCAUGCUGCCCCACACCUCGCUCCCUGGCACUGUGCUCCGCAGGGAUGUGGGCACCGUGCUGAUGCUGCGUGCUGUGUCAUUGGAGUCAACACAGAGGUUCUUCCCAUCCCUGCGGCUGUAAUAUCUGGAGCGCCUCCGCAGAUGAAAGGAAGGCUCCUCCCCUCCUGCACAGCGCCCUGCAGCUCUGCUGCUGAACGCAGUCUGCGCUUUGCCCAAAGGGACCGAGAAACCGCUCAGUGCAAAGCGGCGCUCCCCGGGGCCGAUGGGUGCUUUUAUUGCACCGCACGGUAAUAAAACACAAAAUAAAG
rnacentral:lncRNA from 1 species